CGGGGCGGGGGCACGGGGGGCCUACGGGAGGCAGCAGUAGGGAAUAUUGGGCAAUGGUCGCAAGACUGACCCAGCCAUGCCGCGUGCAGGAAGACGGCCCUCUGGGUUGUAAACUGCUUUUAUCUGGGAAGAAAAAGUCCAUGCGUGGAAAAUUGCCGGUACCAGAUGAAUAAGCACCGGCUAACUCCGUGCCAGCAGCCGCGGUAAUACGGAGGGUGCAAGCGUUGUCCGGAUUUAUUGGGUUUAAAGGGUGCGUAGGCGGCUGAAUAAGUCAGCGGUGAAAGACUUCGGCUUAACCGGAGCAGUGCCGUUGAUACUGUUUAGCUUGAGUGUUGGAGGGGUACAUGGAAUUGAUGGUGUAGCGGUGAAAUGCAUAGAUACCAUCAGGAACACCGAUAGCGAAGGCAUUGUACUGGCCAACAACUGACGCUGAGGCACGAAAGUGUGGGGAUCGAACAGGAUUAGAUACCCCUGGUAGUCCACACCGUAAACGAUGAUUACUCGCUGUUAUGGUGUAAGCUGUAGCGGCCAAGCGAAAGCGUUAAGUAUCCCCCUGGA
rnacentral:rRNA from 1 species